rnacentral:tRNA from 1 species
CGGGGCGUAGCGCAGUCCGGUAGCGCAUCUGGUUUGGGACCAGAGGGCCGAAGGUUCGAAUCCUUUCGCCCCGA